AUUGAACGCUGGCGGCAGGCCUAAUACAUGCAAGUCGAACGGUGUAGCAAUACACAGUGGCGCACGGGUGCGUAACACGUAUGCAACCUACCUAUUAUUGGGGGAUAGCCUUUGGAAACGGAGAUUAAUACCGCAUAAGACAGUGACAUGGCAUCAUGUAGCUGUUAAAGUUUCGGCGAUAAUAGAUGGGCAUGCGUCCAAUUAGUUAGUUGGUGAGGUAACGGCUCACCAAGACGAUGAUUGGUAGGGGAUCUGAGAGGAUAAUACCCCACACUGGCACUGAGAUACGGGCCAGACUCCUACGGGAGGCAGCAGUAGGGAAUAUUGGGCAAUGGACGGAAGUCUGGCCCAGCCAUGCCGCGUGCAGGAUGACGGCGUUAUGCGUUGUAAACUGCUUUUUUAUAGGAAGAAGAAGCCCUUGCGAGGGAAAGUGACGGUACUAUAAGAAUAAGCACCGGCUAACUCCGUGCCAGCCGCCGCGGUAACAC
rnacentral:rRNA from 1 species